AAAGAAGUCCUGGCUAACUCCGUGCCAGCAGCCGCGGUAAUACGGAGAGGGCUAGCGUUAUUCGGAAUUAUUGGGCGUAAAGAGCGCGUAGGCUGGUUAGUAAGUUAAAAGUGAAAUCCCAAAGCUCAACUUUGGAAUUGCUUUUAAAACUGCUAACCUAGAGAUUGAAAGAGGAUAGAGGAAUUCCUAGUGUAGAGGUGAAAUUCGUAAAUAUUAGGAGGAACACCAGUGGCGAAGGCGUCUAUCUGGUUCAAAUCUGACGCUGAGGCGCGAAGGCGUGGGAGCAAACAG
rnacentral:rRNA from 1 species